GAUGAACGCUGGCGGCGUGCCUAAUACAUGCAAGUCGAGCGAACGGACGAGAAGCUUGCUUCUCUGAUGUUAGCGGCGGACGGGUGAGUAACACGUGGAUAACCUACCUAUAAGACUGGGAUAACUUCGGGAAACCGGAGCUAAUACCGGAUGAUAUUUUGAACCGCAUGGUUCAAAAGUGAAAGACGGUCUUGCUGUCACUUAUAGAUGGAUCCGCGCUGCAUUAGCUAGUUGGUAAGGUAACGGCUUACCAAGGCAACGAUGCAUAGCCGACCUGAGAGGGUUAUCGGCCACACUGGAACUGAGACACGGUCCCGACUCCUACGGGAGGCAGCAGUAGGGAAUCUUCCGCAAUGGGCGAAAGCCUGACGGAGCAACGCCGCGUGAGUGAUGAAGGUCUUCGGAUCGUAAAACUCUGUUAUUAGGGAAGAACAUAUGUGUAAGUAACUGUGCACAUCUUGACGGUACCUAAUCAGAAAGCCACGGCUAACUACGUG
rnacentral:rRNA from 1 species